CGGGAAGCUGCUUCAUUGAAUUUUUAAAGAAUCAAUGCCCUGAAAUCUUCUUAUGAGGAGUGAACAAUCGAGAGCUGGGUCAUGUCCAAUCACCAUGGAUUGGAUUGGAACGACGUCGCUUACAAGUUCUCAGAGACAACAAUCCGAAGCAAUGUGCGGCGAUCUAACGCGAGACGUAGUACCUAAACGGGUGUACAUUAGAAGGAUUAGAAAAGAAGAAAUGAUUGGAAGAGAUCCUCGGCGACGCCAUCACGAACCUCGAUGUGAUCGUCGAGACCACUUCAAGGACAUCGGACGUCUCGCCACCUUGGGCAACACUCGCGCCUUUCGCUGUGAACAUCAUACGAAGAAUUGUGCGAUAGAGAAACGUGUGUAAGCUACAAAUAGUGGUUGAAGACACUUGAGGAACAAUUCGCUUCGUUACAAUUGGAAGAGCAUUAGUGAUGAAGCAAUGGUGAUUCCCGAGUCAAGUACGAGACGAUAUAUAAUAAUAAAUAUUCUAUUCUUAUUUGGUUAUAAUCAAAUCCAUUGCGUGUAAUCUUAUAGAAUGCAUACUUAAAUAAAAAAAAAAUUCUGAGUCAAAAUAA